rnacentral:lncRNA from 1 species
CAAAGAACCAGGAGCCCCAAGCAAGAGCAGAACCAUUCAGAGCCUCUCUGAGGAAACUGGUGAGCUGUGAAGCCCCGUCUGACGUACACAAUCAUCUGAUGGAGCCACGGCCCCGGAGUGGCCCAAAAUACCACAGUGGUGGGUGUGGAGGAUCUCCGCCGCAUUUUCCUGCAUCGGAGGGACGAAGGAGAAAGCCCACUUUAACAACUUCAGUUUACCUUUACUUAGGGAGGGAGGUGUCCUGGAAAACCCCAGACAGAACUUUUGGAAUCUUGCAGCCGCUGGCUUAAGAGCUGUGCUCAUCUUUUCUGUCUUCUUCUUCUUCUUCUUCUUCUUCUUCUUCUUCUUCUUCUUCUUCUUCUUCUUCUUCUUCUUCUUCUUCUUCUUCUUCUUUUGUUCUGUGUCUGAGGAAAGGUUUCACUUUGUAGCCUAGGCUGCCUCACUAUGUAGCCUAGGCUGUCUCACUAUGUAGCCUAGGCUGCCUUGAAU